CACGUAGGGCGCAAGCGUUGUCCGGAAUUAUUGGGCGUAAAGAGCUCGUAGGCGGUCCGUCACGUCCGCUGUGAAAACCCAGGGCUCAACCCUGGGCUUGCAGUGGAUACGGGCAGACUAGAGGUAGGUAGGGGAGAAUGGAAUUCCCGGUGUAGCGGUGAAAUGCGCAGAUAUCGGGAGGAACACCGGUGGCGAAGGCGGGUCUCUGGGCCGAUACUGACGCUGAGGAGCGAAAGCGUGGGGAGCAAACAGG
rnacentral:rRNA from 1 species